GGUGUCAGCUGGGACACAUGCUGCUUGAACUGUGCAAGCAACCUGCACGUGUUCUGGCCGGGUCAGCCAUGACGCUGGUGUUCAAGUCCAUGCGCGUGCCCAGCCUCCUUCUGCAGGAAAGACUCUGAGUGUGCACACGUGUGAGUCUGCGUCCCGCGGUCUGCGGUCAGCCUGGCAGAGGCGCCUGUGGGAAGUCCCCACGCUCUGACUCCGCCCCCACCCCUCCUUUUCCUCCUGAGCGUCUCAGCGUCCUGGCCCAUGAGAGUGGCUCCCGGCCGAGCCGUCCUGGUAGGGUCUGGCUGCAGUCUGCACGCCCCCAGGCCUGAGGGGCAGCGGAUGUCCCAGCCCCCGACGUGGGCACCUCCCUGUAGAAUCAGGCUCCCUUCUCAUCUCUCAUUUAUAUUCUGUGGUUUCCAGUGGGAGGACUGGCGUUUUUUUUACUGGAUUUAUCAUGAAUGUCGGAUGUACUCUGGUUCUGCUGUAAAUUGUUAUCUUUGUAAGAUUCUGUUUCCUGUUUAGCGCUGGCCUACAGGGGUCAGACUGGCUCUUGCCCACGACCUUGUGUCCAGCAGAGUGCUAACCCUACCGAGUAGUUCUGAUCGGAACCGACCUGGGCUUCCUGUGGCGAUCACACUCCCUGGGAGUCAGCUCAGCUUCUCUGUCUCCCAUCUUCACCACGCCUUCCACCUGAGGACCGUGGGACCCAGCACAGCCUCGAGCAGGCUUGGCGAGAUCGUCCCCUGCGCUGAGCUCCCAAGGGGCUCCUGAGGUGGCCCUAGUGGUGAAGAGCCCUCCUGCCAACUCAGAAGGUGUAAGAGAUGCGGGUACGAUUCCUGGGCCUGGGAGGUCCCUGGAGGAGGGCAUGGCAACCCACUCCAGCACUCUUGCCUGGAGAAUCCCACAGACAGAGGAGCCUGGCGGGCUAUAGUCCACGGGGUUGCAAAGAGUCAGGCAUGACUGAAGCGACUUAACAGGCACACUUAUUAUUAUUAUUUUUUAAAGGAAACACUUUUCGGCUGAGUCUCCACUGCAGUGGGCGGGCUCCUCGCUGCAGCUCGGGGGCUUAGUUGUCUGGCAGCAGGUGGGAUCUUAGUUCUCUCACCAGGGAUUGAACCCAUGUCCCCUGCAUUAAAAGCCGGAUUCCUAACCACUAGACCACCAGGCAAGUCCCCGCCAAAUCUUUUAACAUCACAAGCGGAUGCUGAAUUUUAUCGAGUGUGUUUUCUGCGUCUGUGACGGUGACGGUUCAACCCCCUUUAUUCUGUUAGUGCUCAUGUCUCAGUCAGACUGGUCCUGUGCUCGGGAAGCGGACCCACCCGCCUCUGACACCUCCUGUCUUGCAGGUGUCCCUCAUCUCUGUGGCUGAUAUUUUUUGUGGGGAUUUUUGCAUUUAUUUUCACUGGCCACAGAUUUGUUUUUCCCAUGAUGCCCUUACAUCAAGGUUAUGCUCACCUCAUGAAGCAAUUGGGAUGUGCUUCUUCUUUUUCUAUUUUCUGGAAGGUUUUUGUAAAAUUCACAUGAUUUCUUCCUUAAAUGUUUAGAGGAAUUCUCUGUGAAGCCAUCCAACUGUCUGGACCUGAGGCUUUUCUUUAAUGGGAAAGUUUUAAAUGAUAGAUUCAAUUCUUUAAUGGUUCAGUUCAGUUCAGUUCGGUUCAGUCGCUCAGUCAUGUCUGACUCUUUGCAAUCCCAUGGACGGCAGCACGCCAGGCCUCCCUGUCCAUCACCAGCUCCUGGGGUUCACUCAGACUCAUGUCCAUUGAGUCGGUGCUGCCAUCCAACCAUCUCAUCCUCUGUUGUCCCCUUCUCCUCCUGCCUUCAAUCUUUUCCAGCCUCCAGGUCUUUUCAGAUGAGUCAGCUCUCCAUAUCAGGUGGCCAAAAUGUUGGAGUUUCAGCUUCAACAUCAGUCCUUCCAAUGAACACCCAGGACUGAUCUCCUUUAGGAUGGACUGGUUGGAUCUCCUUGCAUUCCAAGGGACUCUCAAGAGUCUUCUCCAACACCACAGUUCAAAAGCAUCAAUUCUUUGGUGAUCAGCUUUCUUUAUGGCCCAACUCUUACAUCCAUACAUGACUACUGGAAAAACCAUGGCCUCAACUAGAUAGACCUUUGUUGCCAAAGUGUCUCUGUUUUUGAAUAUGCUGUCUCGGUUGGUCAUAAUUUUCUUCCAAGGAGUAAGCGUCUUUUAAUUUCAUGGCUGCAGUCACCAUCUUAGGUGAUUUUGGAGCCCCCCAAAAUAAAGUCAGACACUGUUUCCACUGUUUCCCCAUCUAUUUGCCAUGAAGUGAUGGGACCAGAUGCCCUGAUCUUUGUUUUCUGAAUGUUGAUCUUUAAGCCAACUUUUUCACUCUCCUCUUUCAUUUUCAUCAAGAGGCUCUUUAGUUCUUCUUCACUUGCUGCCAUAAGGGUGGUGUCCUCUGCAUAUCUGAGGUUAUUGAUAUUUCUCCCGGCAACCUGGAUUCCAGCUUGUGUUUCUUCCAGUCCAGCAUUUCUCAUGAUGUACUCUGCAUAGAAGUUAAAUAAGCAGGGUGACAAUAUACAGCCUUGACGUACUCCUUUCCCUACUUGGAAACAGUCUGUUGUUCCAUGUCCAGUUCUAACUGUUGCUUCCUGACCUGCAUAUAGGUUUCUCAAGAGGCAGGUCAGGUGGUCUGGCAUUCCCAUCUCUUUCAGAAGUUUCCACAGUUUAUUGUGAUCCACACAGUCAAAGGCUUUGGCAUAGUCAGUAAAGCAGAAAUAGAUGUUUUUCUGAAACUCUCUUGCUUUUUCAAUGAUCCAGUGGAUGUCGGCAAUUUGAUCUCUGGUUCCUCUGCUUUUUCCAAAUCCAGCUUGUCCAUCUGAAAGUUCAUGGUUCACAUAUUGCUGAAGCCUGGCUUGGAGGAUUUUGAGCAUUACUUUACUAACGUGUGAGACGAGUCCAAUUGUGUGGUAGUCUGAGCAUUCUUUGGCAUUGCAGUUUUGGGGGAUUGGAUUGAACACUGACCUUUUCCAGUCCUGUGGCCACUGCUGAGGUUUCCAAGUUUGCUGGCAUAUUAAGUGCAGCACUUUCACAGCAUCAUCUUUUAGGAUUUGAAAUAGCCCAACUGGAAUUCCAUCACCUCCACUAGCUUUGUUCAUAGUGAUGCUUCCUAAGGCCCACUUGACUUCACAUUCCGAGAUAUCUGGCUCUAGGGGAGUGAUCACACCAUCGUGGUUAUCUGGGUCUUUAAGAUCUUUUUUGUACAGUUCUUCUGUGUAUUUUUGCCACCUCUUCUUAAUAUCUUCUGCUUCAUUAGCUCCAUACCAUUUCUAUCCUUUAUUGAGCCCAUCUUGGCAUGAGGUGUUCCCUUGGUAUCUUUAAUUUUCUUGAAGAGAUCUCUAGUCUUUCCCAUUUUGUUUUCUUCUAUUUCUUUGCACUGAUCACUGGGGAUGGCUUUCUUAUCUUUACUUUGCAACUAUUCUUUGGAACUCUGCAUUCAGAUGGGUAUAUCUUUCCUUUUGUCCUUUGCUUUUCACUUUUCUUCUUUUCACAGCUAUUUGUAAGGCCUCCUCAGACAGCCAUUUUGCUUUUCUGCAUUUCUUUGAGUUUCUUUUCCUUUAAUGGUUGCACAAGUCCUAAAGCUGCUCCUGCGUUUUCAUGGGCCAGUCUUGGUGAGCGGCGGUGUCCUGGGGCUUUGUCUGUCUCCUCUCGGGUCUCAGGCUCGCUGGCUCCGCGCUGCGUGCACCCCCCCUUAUCUUUCAGGGUCUCUGGGACCUGCGUUUGCUGCUUUAUUUUGUCUUGAUUAGAUUUGCCAGGGCAGUGCUGAUCACACUAAGUUUAUUAAAGAAUGUAUAUUUGAUCAACAUUUUACUUUCAUUAUUUCAUUUAAUUUACUUGGGGGAAAGUUCUAAUUACUAUUAUUUUUCAAAAUUCUUGAGAUGGAUGUGUGACUCACCAGUUUCCAGCCUUUUCCUAUGCUGUUUUGAAAAUCGUGUUGAUUUUGGCUGCUCAGGUCUUUGUUGCCUCCUGGGCUUCCUCUGUUGCGGAGAGCGGGGGUGCUCUCUGGUCGUGCCAAGGGCUCUCCCUGCAGGGGCUUCUCCGGUUUCGGAGCAUGGGCGUCAGGAGUUGAGGCUCCAGGCUCCAGAGCGCAGGCUCAGUAGCUGUGGUGCCCGGGCUUAGCUUCCCGGGCCAGGGAGCAAACCUGUCUCCUGCCCUGGCAGGCGGAUUCUUCACCACUGAGCCACCAGGAAGUCCAGGCUUUCCCUCUUCUAUAGUUUAUUUAACGCUGUAACUUUUCUCUAAACACAGUUUCAGCAAGACAAGGUUUAAAUUGUUUUAACUGAGGUAAUUGCCUAUAACGUCAUGUGAGUUUCGGGUGUGCAGUAUGGUUACUUUAUAUUUGAAUGUAGCAAAUGAUCAGCACAGUAAGUCUGUCACCUCACGCAGUUACAGCUUUUGGGGAGGACUUUUAAGGUCUAAGGACAAGGCCUUCCCGAUGUGCAGCCUUCUUGAUUGCUGAUCGGGCCGCGUGUCUGUGUUUCCGUUGGUGCUGCUGCAGAAAGCAGCCUUCCCCCUGUUGUGACCACCUGCUGCAGGGCCCAGCCCCAGGGACCUCUGUGCCCCCAGGCUGGGGGCUCGUGAGGGUCCUGAUUGUGCCCCUGCUAGACAGAGAUGGUCUUCUCACUGGGUGGCCAGGUAGAUCUUCCCACUGGUUCACGGGACAGGCCCGGGUGUUGGGGGCCUCCAGCCCGCCUUCCCGCAAGCCCUCCCACGCUGGGCGGCUGCUGCCCUGACUGAGGGUUGAAUGACUGCGACCUGCUGUGCCUCCUUUCAGGCUGUGAGUAGCUCCUGCCGAGGACAGCAGAGGCCUGGCACUCACGGUCGGGCUCCACUGCUUUCCUCCUGGCCAGUGGCCAGUGGCCUGGGGCCUCUCACUGGCCGGAACCGGGACCCUUCAAGUGCAGAGUCAGCCUGCCACCCGUGGGUGGGGCAUCUUCCCACUCUACCCCCUCCAUCCCCCCACGCCCACCCCGCACUGCUCUGGAUUCUCUGCAGGCUUUCUGCUUCUUUGCCUAAGCCUAACCCCUUUGUGUUAAUAACAGGCAGGGGGUCCCUUCAUCCCACAGGCUCCACGGGCAGGCCCAGCUGAGACUUUCUUCGCCCCUAGACUAACACUGAUCCAUCAUAAGCAAAUUUUGAUCAUUAAAAACAAAAUUACAGAAUAAACUCAGUUAAACCCAGUUUAAACAAGACAUUGCCAAGACACAGAGCUUGUUGGCUCUUUUCCCCACGUGAGACACAGCACUGACUUUAUGCUGUGGGUCCCUGUGAGCAAGACGCUGGAAUACCACCGUCUUUCCUGGAUGGGUGUUGAUGUCUCAGGUUUCUUGAAAAAUAGCAGAGGCUCCAUUUCUUUCACUUCGAUGUGGUACAUUUCUCAAAAAAAAAAAAAAAAAGCCGAGGCUCAGAUUCACAGGAAUGUUUCCCCUAUUCUGCCUGUUUCUGCACGUACUGAACGCAACGGCCUCAGGGCCGUGGUGCGAAGCAGGACUCAGGAACCGUCUGGGGUCUGUCUCCCCUUUGCUCCAAACUCCACCCACGUUCCUGCCUUUGGGGGCCGCCCUGUCUGCUCUCAGCUUCCCCUCCCCCGGGUCUCCGCAGGGCGAGGCUGUGGAGGCUCCCACGCAGCCGGGGGCCUGGGCGGGGCUCCCGGGCCCGCUCAGGGGUCCCCGCCACUGGUCACUGCUUCCCACCAUCCGGCUUGUGCGCUGGCUUUUCCCGUUUUCCCGGGGGUUCAGUUCCAUUGUUUUCACUCAAACCCUGGUCGGGUCCUCCCCAGGUGGGGCCUGCUCGGCCUGCUGGCCGUGACCCUCCUCUGGUGGGGGUCGCCCUCCCCUGGAACCUGAGGCCGACGUUUCCUGUGCAGGAUGUGUUCUUGCAGCUCGUGGAGAGAAGUCCACGUUAGAGAACGUUCCAAAAGGCGCCCCUUCCGGGCGUUUGCACUCACUGCCUCAGUUUCUGGAGCCUUUGUAGGAAACGAGAAGACUGCUUCCUGCCCGCCGGCUUCAUCCCAG
ensembl:lncRNA